CUGAUGCAGCCAUGCCGCGUGUGUGAAGAAGGCCUUCGGGUUGUAAAGCUCUUUCCUCGGGGAAGAAAAUCUGAGGGUUCAUACCGGUUAGGCUUGACCUUACCCACAGAAGAAGCACCGGCUAACUCCGUGCCCGCAGCCGCGGUAAUACGGAGGGGGCAAGCGUUAAUCGGAAUUACUGGGCGUAAAGGGGGUGUAGGCGGUUUGGUAAGCUCGAUGUGAAAGCCCCGGGCUCAACCUGGGAAUGGCGUUUUGAACUGGCAGGCUUUAGUCUUGGAGAGGGGAGUGGAAUUUCCUGUGGAGGAGUGAAAUGCGUAAAUGUUGGAAGGAACAUCCGUGGCCAAGGCCGCCCCCUGGACAGAGACUGACGCUCAGGUACUAAAGCGCGGGGAGCAAACAGGAUUAAAUACCCUGGUAGUCCACGCCGCAAACCAUGUCCACUAGUUGUUCGUGACUUUAAGACGUGAGUUCCCCACCUAACGCGCUCCGUUGACCGCCUGGGGAGUACGGCAUCAAGGUUAAAACUCAAAUGAGUUGGCGGGGG
rnacentral:rRNA from 1 species